rnacentral:sRNA from 1 species
AGUGUUCUUGAAGUCAUUACUUACUGAGAAAAGAAUCACUAUCCAAGAUGAAAAAUCAGGAACUUCAACAACAGCUCCUUUAUUUCCAUUUCUACUUCUGAAAUACCAAAAUAUUUGCAGACUGGAUCCAAAUCAGGAGCCCACAUGAACUUAAAGAAGCGAGCAUGGGAUUCUUAGUUUUCCAAGAUCCGUACACACGAAGCCUUUAAUCAGCAUCAACUCCAGUGUCCGUUUUCUCUGGUUUUGUGAAGACUGCACAAAACUCUCAUGAUGGAGAACCAAAGGACUUAGUUACCUGUUUCAGUGUCAUCUAAAGUCAACUGAAAAGUGAAGCAGGCAGUAAUACAGCCAUGGAAAGAAAUUCAAGUUUAUGGAAGAACCUAAUAGAUGAACACCCAGUCUGCACAACCUGGAAGCAAGAGGCCGAAGGAGCCAUUUAUCAUCUUGCCAGUAUUUUAUUUGUAGAUCAGAGUGACAGUUGAUGGUGAAUUUCUGCAUUACAUUUUCCCCCUUCAGUUCCUGGAUUCUCCUGAGUGGGAUUCACUGAGACCCACAGAGGAAGGCAUUUUUCAGGUAACCCUCACUGCAGAAACUGAUUGUCGAUAUGUGUCUUGGAGGAGAAAGAAAUUAUAUCUGCUCUUUGCUCAGCAUCGUUACAUCUCCCGCCUUUUUUCAGUGCUAAUUGGCAGUGACAUUGCAGAUAAACUCUAUGCCUUGAAUGACAGGGUAUAUAUAGGAAAAAGAUAUCACUAUGAUAUUCGGCUACCCAACUUCUAUCAAAUGUCAACUCCAGAAAUACGCAGAUCACCCCUGACACAACAUUUUCAGAAUUCCAGACGAUACUGUGAUAAAUGACAUCAAAGUCUGAAAUUUAUAAGUAUAAAAAAAGACUCUCUCUUCAUCAUUCCCCAGUGAAAUAGCAAAAUACAAAAAAAGAGCUCCCUAAUGUUUUUAUAAAUCAAAUUCAGAAGCGAGAUGCCAUUGCCAACUGUUUUAUUCCUUUCAACAACUGCAUUGUGAAUAAA